ensembl:lncRNA
CAAAAACAUUGAAAAGAGGAGAAAUCAUUAUUCGGGUUUGGUCACGUUUUUGAGGUGCAAUUCAUAAACUAAGAAGAAUAGGCCAGGAGUGUGAGGUGAUUUAUUUAACCAGCGCAAGGAACCAUCUGGUGAUUGCAUCGCCAAGUUUACACUCCUGCGUGCGCGUACGUACUAUCCCUAAACUCCAGUGGAAGGGAGGAGUAGAAGGUAAGAAUGUGCUAUAAUGUUCCUGGUUAUAUAUAAAACGUCGAAAUUUGAUUCAAGAUGAUCGUUUUCAUUUUAGCAGCCGAACAAACAGAAUCUAUUAUUCCUACGUAGUCGUACACGAUACAAUGCUUUGCGAUUGUCAUGGAGAUUGAAGGAUGUGUGAGCCAGUGGGGGACUGCUGUGGGGAUUUUACGCGGAGUUGUUGUUCAUUUAUGGAACUCAAUUAUAGACUGAUCUAAGAGCACACAAAUGGUCAUCGAUUGUGUCAAAGGGAACUGCCUCUGUCUGCACGGGGCACCUACAAUAGGCUACAUAUCUGCAGCAUCUUUGCAAUACUUCAAAAAUAAUUAUGAUCUUUAAAUGUAAACCCCAGGCAAUGCAGAAUACAGUUAAAUAUUCUGUAUAGUAACAAAUGUGGUGAAUACAUUAGAAUGUUUUUUUCCAAGAUGUAAAAAAAUGACUGUAAAGAUGUUAUUUUUGACAGGUCACGCCACAGCAAUCAUUUUCCUCUUUGUUUUUCCCUGAUGCUGAGUGAAUGACAUGGUUAUGUCUAGAUGUGCUAUAGCUUUUGUUUUGCCUUCCGGAUUCUCACCUUGUAAUAUACCCAGUUUGGAAAAGGGGGCAUUUGCGAGUUGCUGCUGGAAUUAUUUGGAUGACGGGUACCUUCCGUCUUAUGUGGUUUUCCUCUUGAAGCCUGAACACCCUUUAUGUGUUGGGGCGGCAGGUUAGAACGUUGGGCCAGUGACCGAAAGGUUGUUGGCUCGAAUCCCUGAGCUGACAAGGUAAAACUCUGUCGUUAUACCCCUGAACAAGGCAGUUAACCCACUUGCCAUCAUUGUAAAAAAUAAUUUGUUCUCAACUAACUUAGCCUUGUUAAAUAAAAUACAAAUUAUGUUCCUACUCUGGUAGGCCCAAUAUAAUGAAAUUCGUACGUAUUGCCAUAGGGUCAUUUUGAUGUGUUAAAUUUAGUUGACGUGACGGCUGUGAGCAGGUUGACGUUUGUUAGGUUAAAAAUAAGAUUGAAUGACUUUGUGACUGCCAGGUAGUGACCAC